rnacentral:rRNA from 1 species
UACGUAGGUGGCAAGCGUUGUCCGGAUUUACGUGGGCGUAAAGAGCGCGCAGGCGGUCGUAUAAGUCGAAUGUGAAAGCCCCUGGCUCAACUAGGGAGAGUCAUUCGAUACUGUUCGACUCGAAGGCAGGAGAGGGAAGUGGAAUUCCGGGUGUAGUGGUGAAAUGCGUAGAUAUCCGGAGAACACCAGUGGCGAAGGCGACUUUCUGGCCUGUUCUUGACGCUGAGGCGCGAAAGCUAGGGGAGCAACGGG